GAGUUUGAUCCUGGCUCAGAUUGAACGCUGGCGGCAGGCCUAACACAUGCAAGUCGAACGGUAACAGGAAGAAGCUUGCUUCUUUGCUGACGAGUGGCGGACGGGUGAGUAAUGUCUGGGAAACUGCCCGAUGGAGGGGGAUAACUACUGGAAACGGUAGCUAAUACCGCAUAACGUCGCAAGACCAAAGAGGGGGACCUUCGGGCCUCUUGCCAUCGGAUGUGCCCAGAUGGGAUUAGCUAGUAGGUGGGGUAACGGCUCACCUAGGCGACGAUCCCUAGCUGGUCUGAGAGGAUGACCAGCCACACUGGAACUGAGACACGGUCCAGACUCCUACGGGAGGCAGCAGUGGGGAAUAUUGCACAAUGGGCGCAAGCCUGAUGCAGCCAUGCCGCGUGUAUGAAGAAGGCCUUCGGGUUGUAAAGUACUUUCAGCGGGGAGGAAGGGAGCAAAGUUAAUACCUUUGCUCAUUGACGUUACCCGCAGAAGAAGCACCGGCUAACUCCGUGCCAGCAGCCGCGGUAAUACGGAGGGUGCAAGCGUUAAUCGGAAUUACUGGGCGUAAAGCGCACGCAGGCGGUUUGUUAAGUCAGAUGUGAAAUCCCCGGGCUCAACCUGGGAACUGCAUCUGAUACUGGCAAGCUUGAGUCUCGUAGAGGGGGGUAGAAUUCCAGGUGUAGCGGUGAAAUGCGUAGA
rnacentral:rRNA from 1 species